ncrna:unclassified sequences DTF3800-IX RNA
GACCUCAACCCGAAUUGUCACCGUAUGGUGCGCGUGUCCCGAUUCAUCGGGACUAGGGUUGGGGUUUUUA